rnacentral:rRNA from 1 species
GCCUUAGUUUUGAAUCUAAGGUGAUGCCUGCCCAGUGAUAAUAAAAAUAAUUUUAAUGAAAUUUUAGUUUUAUUAAACGGAUGCGGUAACUCUGACCGUAAUAAAGUAGCAUAAUAAAUUGUCAUUUAAUUGGUGGAGUGUAUGAAUGGUAAUACGAUUACUUCAUUGUCUCAGAUAAAAUUCUUUAAAAUUGAAAUAAUAGUGAAGAUUCUAUUAGAAAUCGUAAGACGAAAAGACCCUAUAGAGCUUAACUAUAGCUCUAAAUUUAUUUAGAGUUGGUAGUUUAGUUGGGGCGACUAUCUUUUAUAAUCAACAAAGAUAAGUAAUAUUAAUAAAUUUAAUUUAUUGUUUAAUUUAUAAAUUUAACAAUUAAGAAAUUAGGCUAUAUUGACCCAUUAAGUAAGAAUUAAUAACUUAAUGAAAAAUAAAUAAAAGCUACCUUAGGGAUAACAGGAUAAUUUUGUUUUAGAGUUCUAAUCAAAUACAAAGUUUGUCACCUCUAUGUUGAAUUAAGAUAUCCAAGUAAUGCAGAAGUUACUAAGGGUAGGUCUGUUCGACCUUUAAAAUCUU